rnacentral:rRNA from 1 species
CAGCCGCCACGGUAAUACGUAGGGUGCAAGCGUUAAACGGAAUUACUGGGCGUAAAGCGUGCGCAGGCGGUUUGUUAAGACAGAUGUGAAAUCCCCGGGCUCAACCUGGGAACUGCAUUUGUGACUGGCAAGCUAGAGUGUGGCAGAGGGGGGUGGAAUUCCGCGUGUAGCAGUGAAAUGCGUAGAUAUGCGGAGGAACACCGAUGGCGAAGGCAGCCCCCUGGGCCAACACUGACGCUCAUGCACGAAAGCGUGGGGAGCAAACAGGAUUAGAUACCCGCGUAGUCCCUGUCUCUUAUAC